rnacentral:lncRNA from 1 species
GAUUCCGCUGGUAAUUCUUUGGAGCAAAAUGAUGCCUUUGCCACUUAAUCAUCAGCAUUUGGAAUACAGUUUCUGUUGUCUGAGCUUGAACUGAAAGAACCCACAGUCUGUGAGUUCUAGCCAUUUAGAAAAAUGGCAGCUGCCGUAAGACGUGAACUUGGCAUUUGAAAUCAGCAGACAACGAGGAGUCAGUGUGAGGUUACUUCAGGAAUACGUGUAAGAAAUUGAGAUGCUGCCUCUUCCAUGAUGUCACACUGCAGAGAAAAAUCCAGACUGGAUAGAAAUGGUUGAUUGAAAGGAAUUCUGGAUGAAUACCUAGAAUCCUCUGGUAUUCCGAUUACUACAUACAUACAUGCUGGGCAAUGACUGGAGAGCUGAGAAGAGAGGAAAAGGAAAAGACUGAGGGUACAAGAGCUCUGAGUUUGGAUUAUUCAGGCUGCAUGGUGUGGGGAAAAACCAAGACUGGCUCUCAGAGGGUUAAAAACACCUGUCUGGAAGAGGACCCUGAAGAUUGCAGUUCAUCUCAGGGAACUUGCCCAGCCCUGAGCAUUAAGGCAGGAAGCCACCUAGAACGCUGUUCUCUGCCUUUGAGUCACACAGAACCACUUGCAGGAAGAACUCCAGAGAAUUUGGGAAGAAAGGAGAGAGAGGGCAGACAAAAGGUGCAUUUUUUUUUAAGAAGCAAGAAAACAUAA